UUAGGUACUGAUUACUGUUAAAAACAAUGCAGAGUACUGGGAAUAAGGAAGGAGGUGGGAUACUCAUAGGAGCUUGGAGAUUUCUCUGCCAUAUCUACCUCAUGCUGAAGAAGAAUUCUUCCAUGCAGGAAUUUAAAAGAUAAUUUUGUGGGAUGGCUGGGACUCCACAAAAGGACACAAAUGGCUUAUUUUGGGUUCAUUCGAGUGUCAGCCCUGGAGUAUUCCAUUCCUCUGUCCUGAUGCUCCAGAGUAGCCUAAGAAAAACAUCACCCUGAAGUCUCCUUAAGGUGCUCUUGGGCAGAUGGGAGAAAAGCAAUCCAGAAAUAUCCUUCAGCCAUGGUGAGACUUUCCAGACAACUCAAUUUGGCAAGAGACCUUCCAAGAGUAAUCCCACUCUACUGCAAGAAAGCAGAGUUUGUAGACACUGCAAUGCAAAGGAAAAAAACUGCUCAAAGGAAUGUUAAAGCAACUUUUUCCCCAAGGUAUCAAGCAUGAAAUGUGAAGGCUGUCUUUUAAGCAUGGAGAAAGUGCUGAACUCGAUGUCUCUGGAAACUCAUCGUGCCAGCAGCAAACUGUGAGGUCGUGGAGCACCAGGCCACCAGCAAGACUCCCUGCUGCUGCUGCUGCUGGUUUCAAAACUGAGAAACAAAUUUGAAGGUGCUAGUCCCGUGGCAGGGUAAACCUUGGUAUGCAAAUGGCAUGGUGACUCACCUUCUGGCACCCAUGGACAGCCUGCACGUGUGUAGGACAGAGCUGUUUAGGAAGCGAGGUGUAUGGAGUGACAGUAGCAGCUGCGGAAGCUUAUGAAAGAGCAGGAAAAGAAGGCGAAGCAUUCUCUGUCGUUGAUGUAAAUUUCUCAGUGAUUCAGAACAUACCUAUCAUUUUAUCUUUGAGUCUACAAACUCAGUGACAGAAGACAAAUGAUCCUUCCCGAUG